rnacentral:rRNA from 1 species
ACAUGCAAGUCGAGCGGACAGAUGGGAGCUUGCUCCCUGAUGUUAGCGGCGGACGGGUGAGUAACACGUGGGUAACCUGCCUGUAAGACUGGGAUAACUCCGGGAAACCGGGGCUAAUACCGGAUGGUUGUUUGAACCGCAUGGUUCAAACAUAAAAGGUGGCUUCGGCUACCACUUACAGAUGGACCCGCGGCGCAUUAGCUAGUUGGUGAGGUAAUGGCUCACCAAGGCAACGAUGCGUAGCCGACCUGAGAGGGUGAUCGGCCACACUGGGACUGAGACACGGCCCAGACUCCUACGGGAGGCAGCAGUAGGGAAUCUUCCGCAAUGGACGAAAGUCUGACGGAGCAACGCCGCGUGAGUGAUGAAGGUUUUCGGAUCGUAAAGCUCUGUUGUUAGGGAAGAACAAGUACCGUUCGAAUAGGGCGGUACCUUGACGGUACCUAACCAGAAAGCCACGGCUAACUACGUGCCAGCAGCCGCGGUAAUACGUAGGUGGCAAGCGUUGUCCGGAAUUAUUGGGCGUAAAGGGCUCGCAGGCGGUUUCUUAAGUCUGAUGUGAAAGCCCCCGGCUCAACCGGGGAGGGUCAUUGGAAACUGGGGAACUUGAGUGCAGAAGAGGAGAGUGGAAUUCCACGUGUAGCGGUGAAAUGCGUAGAGAUGUGGAGGAACACCAGUGGCGAAGGCGACUCUCUGGUCUGUAACUGACGCUGAGGAGCGAAAGCGUGGGGAGCGAACAGGAUUAGAUACCCUGGUAGUCCACGCCGUAAACGAUGAGUGCUAAGUGUUAGGGGGUUUCCGCCCCUUAGUGCUGCAGCUAACGCAUUAAGCACUCCGCCUGGGGAGUACGGUCGCAAGACUGAAACUCAAAGGAAUUGACGGGGGCCCGCACAAGCGGU